AAAAACAUCACCUCUUGAUCAAUUAUAAGAGGCCCAGCCUGCCCAGUGAUUAUUUCAACGGCCGCGGUACCCUAACCGUGCAAAGGUAGCACAAUCACUUGUUCUUUAAAUAAGGACUAGUAUGAACGGCACCACGAAGACCAUACUGUCUCCUUUUUYUAAUCAGUGAAACUGAUCUCCCCGUGAAGAAGCGGGGAUUAUUCUAUAAGACGAGAAGACCCUAUGAAGCUUAAAAUUUACAUCAACUGCCACCCGUACACCACCUCAACCUGACAGACCUGAUUAUCAAUUUUUGGUUGGGGUGACCGCGGAGCAAAAUUAAACCUCCACAAUGAAAGGAUCAACCUCCUAAUUCAAGAAUUACACUUCUAAAAAUCAACAUAUUGACAUAAAUUGAUCCAAACCCUUUGAUCAAUGAACCAAGUUACUCUAGGGAUAACAGCGCAAUCCAUUUCAAGAGCCCCUAUCGACAAAUGGGUUUACGACCUCGAUGUUGGAUCAGGGUGUCCUAGUGGUGCAACCGCUACUAAAGGUUCGUUUGUUCAACGAUUAAAACCCUACGUGAUCUGAGUUC
rnacentral:rRNA from 1 species